AAGUCGUAACAAGGUAACCGUAGGUGAACCUGCGGUUGGAUCAUUACUAAAUAAUUUGCGCCCCUUGGUGCCGUGAAAACGCGCCUCGGGCCCAACAAAUUAAACCACCCCUUUGUGAACUGUUAACCGUGUUUUGGCAGCCCUCCAAAAACUGGUGCUUCCGGCCUAAACCGCCGCGCGGCACCUUGGGCUGCCAGCUUCGUACCAACACCAAUGUAUUUUACCAUAUUAUCAAUGUCAACCGAAAGAUUUCGAUAAGAGUCUUUGUUAUGAAAAUAAUAAACAACUUUUGACAACGGAUCUCUUGGCUCUC
rnacentral:misc_RNA from 1 species